CUCAUAGACACUAGAAAAACACCUGAUGGAACGAUAUGAGAUCCCCAUGUGCUGUGGCUACCUAAAACACUCAGACCGCCACUGACCGAUACCCCAGCACAAAUCACGCUACUCCUGAGAGUUUAGGACACGCACAGACACAAGGCUCUAGCUCCCAAAUCUCACAGGCCACACCACUAUGGGCCCUAACAUACAGUAUUCCCACAUUUCAUGCAACACCAUGGUAAGAGAGAGG